CAGCCGCCGCGGGAAUACGUAGGUGGCAAGCGUUGUCCGGAAUUAUUGGGCGUAAAGGACUCGCAGGCGGUUUCUUAAGUCUGAUGUGAAAGCCCCCGGCUCAACCGGGGAGGGUCAUUGGAAACUGGGAAACUUGAGUGCAGAAGAGGAGAGUGGAAUUCCACGUGUAGCGGUGAAAUGCGUAGAGAUGUGGAGGAACACCAGUGGCGAAGGCGACUCUCUGGUCUGUAACUGACGCUGAGGAGCGAAAGCGUGGGGAGCGAACAGGAUUAGAUACCCGCGUAGUCCCUGUCUCUUAUAC
rnacentral:rRNA from 1 species